rnacentral:lncRNA from 1 species
UGCUUGUUCUUUGUCCAUAUCCAUACUUUCUUUGAUUUUUUAUUACCACUAUCCUCCAAUGGUGUCCAAGAAGAAGAAGACAUUGAAGAAGAACAAGGUUUGUGGUGCAAACGUGUGUAGGAAGUANAAGGUGGUGGAGUGAAUUGUGCAAAUCCAAUUUGCGACAGUAAAGACAUCUUAGUCAGAGGUGUCUGUACUCAACACCAACAAACAACGUUAGUUCAUCACUUC